rnacentral:rRNA from 2 species
AAAUUGAAGAGUUUGAUCAUGGCUCAGAUUGAACGCUGGCGGCAGGCCUAACACAUGCAAGUCGAGCGGUAGCACAGAGAGCUUGCUCUCGGGUGACGAGCGGCGGACGGGUGAGUAAUGUCUGGGAAACUGCCUGAUGGAGGGGGAUAACUACUGGAAACGGUAGCUAAUACCGCAUAAUGUCGCAAGACCAAAGUGGGGGACCUUCGGGCCUCAUGCCAUCAGAUGUGCCCAGAUGGGAUUAGCUAGUAGGUGGGGUAACGGCUCACCUAGGCGACGAUCCCUAGCUGGUCUGAGAGGAUGACCAGCCACACUGGAACUGAGACACGGUCCAGACUCCUACGGGAGGCAGCAGUGGGGAAUAUUGCACAAUGGGCGCAAGCCUGAUGCAGCCAUGCCGCGUGUGUGAAGAAGGCCUUCGGGUUGUAAAGCACUUUCAGCGGGGAGGAAGGCGGUGAGGUUAAUAACCUCAUCGAUUGACGUUACCCGCAGAAGAAGCACCGGCUAACUCCGUGCCAGCAGCCGCGGUAAUACGGAGGGUGCAAGCGUUAAUCGGAAUUACUGGGCGUAAAGCGCACGCAGGCGGUCUGUCAAGUCGGAUGUGAAAUCCCCGGGCUCAACCUGGGAACUGCAUUCGAAACUGGCAGGCUAGAGUCUUGUAGAGGGGGGUAGAAUUCCAGGUGUAGCGGUGAAAUGCGUAGAGAUCUGGAGGAAUACCGGUGGCGAAGGCGGCCCCCUGGACAAAGACUGACGCUCAGGUGCGAAAGCGUGGGGAGCAAACAGGAUUAGAUACCCUGGUAGUCCACGCCGUAAACGAUGUCGAUUUGGAGGUUGUGCCCUUGAGGCGUGGCUUCCGGAGCUAACGCGUUAAAUCGACCGCCUGGGGAGUACGGCCGCAAGGUUAAAACUCAAAUGAAUUGACGGGGGCCCGCACAAGCGGUGGAGCAUGUGGUUUAAUUCGAUGCAACGCGAAGAACCUUACCUGGUCUUGACAUCCACAGAACUUAGCAGAGAUGCUUUGGUGCCUUCGGGAACUGUGAGACAGGUGCUGCAUGGCUGUCGUCAGCUCGUGUUGUGAAAUGUUGGGUUAAGUCCCGCAACGAGCGCAACCCUUAUCCUUUGUUGCCAGCGGUCCGGCCGGGAACUCAAAGGAGACUGCCAGUGAUAAACUGGAGGAAGGUGGGGAUGACGUCAAGUCAUCAUGGCCCUUACGACCAGGGCUACACACGUGCUACAAUGGCAUAUACAAAGAGAAGCGACCUCGCGAGAGCAAGCGGACCUCAUAAAGUAUGUCGUAGUCCGGAUUGGAGUCUGCAACUCGACUCCAUGAAGUCGGAAUCGCUAGUAAUCGUAGAUCAGAAUGCUACGGUGAAUACGUUCCCGGGCCUUGUACACACCGCCCGUCACACCAUGGGAGUGGGUUGCAAAAGAAGUAGGUAGCUUAACCUUCGGGAGGGCGCUUACCACUUUGUGAUUCAUGACUGGGGUGAAGUCGUAACAAGGUAACCGUAGGGGAACCUGCGGUUGGAUCACCUCCUUA